AGUGAACGCUGGCGGCAGGCUUAACACAUGCAAGUCGAACGGCAGCACAAGAGAGCUUGCUCUAUGGGUGGCGAGCGGCGGACGGGUGAGUAAUGUCUGGGAAACUGCCUGAUGGAGGGGGAUAACUUCGGGAAACGGUAGCUAAUACCGCAUACCGCCUCCGGACCAAAGCGGGGGACCUUCGGGCCUCUCGCCAUCAGAUGAGCCCAGAUGGGAUUAGCUAGUAGGUGGGGUAAUGGCCCACCUAGGCGACGAUCCAUAGCUGGUCUGAGAGGAUGACCAGCCACACUGGAACUGAGACACGGUCCAGACUCCUACGGGAGGCAGCAGUAGGGAAUAUUGCACAAUGGGCGCAAGCCUGAUGCAGCCAUGCCGCGUGUGUGAAGAAGGCCUUCGGGUUGUAAAGCUCUUUUAUCGGGGAGGAAAGGCGUGAACUUAAUACGUUCAUCAAUUGACGGUACUCGCAGAAGAAGCACCGGCUAACUCCGUG
rnacentral:rRNA from 1 species